rnacentral:rRNA from 1 species
AACGAACGCUGGCGGCAUGCCUAACACAUGCAAGUCGAACGAGACCUCCGGGUCUAGUGGCGCACGGGUGCGUAACGAGUGGGAAGCUGCCCUUAGGUUCGGAAUCACUCCCUGAAAGGGGAGUUAAUACCGGAUAAUGUCUUCGGACCUAAGAUUUAUCGCGUUUGGAUGGGCCCGCGUUGGAUUAGCUGGUUGGUAGGGUAAAAGCCUACCAAGGAGACGUUCCAUAGCUGGUCUGGUAGGAUGAUCAGCCACACUGGGACUGAGACACGGCCCAGUCUGCGACGGGAGGGAGCAGUGGGGAAUAUAGGACAAUGGGGGAAAGUCUGAUCCAGCCGCGUGGGGUGAGAGAUGAAGGCCUUAGGGUUGUAAAGCUGUUUUACCCGGGGUGAUAAUGACAGUACCGGGAGAAUAAGCACCGGCUAACUCCGUG